rnacentral:rRNA from 1 species
UAGGGAAUCUUCCGCAAUGGACGCAAGUCUGACGGAGCAACGCCGCGUGAGUGAAGAAGGAUUUCGGUUCGUAAAACUCUGUUGUUAGAGAAGAACAGCGCAUAGAGUAACUGUUAUGCGUGUGACGGUAUCUAACCAGAAAGCCACGGCUAACUACGUGCCAGCAGCCGCGGUAAUACGUAGGUGGCAAGCGUUGUCGGGAUUUAUUGGGCGUAAAGCGAGCGCAGGCGGUCAAUUAAGUCUGAUGUGAAAGCCCCCGGCUCAACCGGGGGGGGUCAAUGGUAACUGUUUGAAUUGAGUGCGAAAGAGGAGAGUGGAAUUCCGUGUGUAGCGGUGAAAUGCGUAGAUAUAUGGAGAAACACCGGUGGCGAAGGCGACUCUCUGGUCUGUAACUAACGCUGGGGAUCGAAAGCGUGGGUAGCAAACAGG